rnacentral:rRNA from 1 species
AGUGAACGCUGGCGGUAGGCCUAACACAUGCAAGUCGAACGGCAGCACAGUAAGAGCUUGCUCUUACGGGUGGCGAGUGGCGGACGGGUGAGGAAUACAUCGGAAUCUACUUUUUCGUGGGGGAUAACGUAGGGAAACUUACGCUAAUACCGCAUACGACCUACGGGUGAAAGCAGGGGAUCUUCGGAUCUUGCGCGAUUGAAUGAGCCGAUGUCGGAUUAGCUAGUUGGCGGGGUAAAGGCCCACCAAGGCGACGAUCCGUAGCUGGUCUGAGAGUAUGAUCAGCCACACUGAGACGGAGACACGGUCCAGACUCCUACGGGAGGCAGCAGUGGGGAAUAUUAGACAAUGGGCGCAUGCCUGAUCCUGCCAUACCGCGUGGGUGAAGAAGGCCUUCGGGUUGUAAAGCCCUUUUGUUGGGAAAGAAGAGCAGCAGGUUAAUACCCCGCUGUUCUGACGGUACCCAAAGAAUAAGCACCGGCUAACUUCG